rnacentral:lncRNA from 1 species
CAAGAUAAACUGGUUGUGGGAACUCCCUGGGAUACUUAGUUUUCUUCCUUUUUUUUUUUUUCGGUACCAGGGAUCAAACUCAGGUCCUUGAACUUGCACAGCAGGCGUCGAAACCACUGAGCUAAAUCCCUGGCCCUGGUUUUCUUAUUUUAUUUUUUCUUUUCUUUUUUUUUCUUUCUUUCUUUCUUUCUUUUUUUUUUUUUGCAGAGAGCUGAUUUUAGAGGCAUCUAGACUAGCUUGCUGGAUGGAAGAAGGUGAGAACUGCCAUCAGUAGGAACAAGGCAUUCUCCAAGUUAUUUACCUCCCUCUUGGCCUCAGUAUGUCUCCACAGAGCUAAGGCCAAGUAGUUAAAGGAUAAAUUAAUCUGAUGAUGAGACUUUGGAGUUCAGGAUGAUGUGCCUUCUGCCAAUCCCACAGCCCAUGUCUGCCAGGCCUGAUAGGCAUUUACAGACCCCAUUCUUUUAUUUAUGUCUUUAGACAUAAGUAAUUAAGUAGGAUGAAGUAUGGGAAAAAGUGCUUUGUAAAUUCUGAAAUUCUCUGCUAUUACUACUCACUGAAACAGCAGAAGUGGCAGCCCGUGUCACACAAUAUCCCUCCAGCUAGCAUUUGCUGAGUAAAGGAACUGAAUCAAAACGUAAUUGGACAAGAGCAAGUCAAAAAUGGAAAUAAAAGAUGGAGAAGGUAGACAGUUGGUGUCCUCCAUCUAAAACUUUCCUUUAGUAGGGUCAAAUCAGUAAAUAGCUUAUUUUCAUUGGUAAUAGCAUGUAAAAGAUUUGCUAGAUAAAAAUCUAGAAAUGUCACCCUUGGUGAUUAUACAGGGGAGCAACUCUUUGUCUCCUAUCUGUGCUGAACAUGCAUUAGGGUUCCCAUUGCUUUGGACAUCUAUUGAAGUAGCCUUCACUGGACCCCAAACUCACACAAAUCCAAUGCAUAUGCAUGAAACGUCUGAGCCAAAGACCAAAACCACUGUCCUAACAACUAGUCAGUCAUGUAGCUCAGCCCUAGCACUGAGGCUUCCUGAUGAUCUUCAAGUGGGAUUCGAUCUUUGGUACCCAGAGAAUGGGCGAAAGUUUCAAGAAGAGAUUUCUCAAGCCUUGAGGCUUCACAAGAAGAUCCAGCAUCCAAAUGACACUGUGGCCAGAAACAAUAGUAGCUGUUCUUCUCCUGCAGGUCCUCUGGGCUGUCCAAGACACUGCAGAGCAGCCCUGCCCCUGGGGAAGCUUUGUGUAUUCAUGCACUUACACAAACAGUUGCAUUGGCUUGGCUUACUGAGUGGUGUUCUUUCAUAGACAACCUGUUAUCGUACUUACAAUCAUAGUCUGGGGAAUUAAGUUAUUUCACAUAUUUUUGCCCUGUGGUAGCAUAAUGACUAUUUUAAAGGAAAAAUCUUGGAGGAGCUCAUGAAGAGUAAUUAAAUAUGACACGGCAUAAGGAAGAAUCAAAUAAUAUUAUGUAAAGCAUGAAGUUUAAGCUUUCUUUGAGUCAAAUAUGAACAAAUUUUUCCUAUUCAAACUUUUAAAAUCUAGGUCAGUGACAAAUCUUUGGGUUUGUUUGGAAGAAUCAUUUGCCCAAUCAGCAAUUUAAAUAAUGAACCUGGGGUGUACCUGGAAGGGGAGUUUUGGGGGACAAGAGAAGUGCAUUUUAGUCUUAGCUUUAGCUCUAAUUUUUUGUGUUCUUGAGCAAGUCUCUUAAUCUCUCUUGGUCUCAAUUUUUGGAUCGAAUAAGAAGAGAGUUUGAACAAAGUACUCUGUAAGUCCCCUUGUAGUUCUAAGAUAUCAGUUAUACAUCUGGGUUUGACAUUUAUCUGAUCUUAAUGUUCCAUUGUCCUAAGCUCAUUAGUUUCAGGGGCUUGUCUUGCUGCUGGUUCUACUUUCUCUCCUCUCUUUUUUCUUGUUUGUUUGGAAAAACUUUAUUUCAAUGUAAUACAAAUAGAUAUUAAUAAAGAAAAUAUUUUUUAAAAAGUCUUUUGACUUCUAUGAAAAAAUACUUUCUCUCUUCUUAAAGGAAUUUUUAUUCUUCAGGUUCAGUUACUCAAGCCAAUGGCUAGAUUUAUGUUAUCCUGAAUAUUGCUUUAUGGUAGUUUACUUGUUGGGAGAAUACAUAAGAAGUUAAUUUAAAAUAAAGCAAAAGAUCCCACUCCUUUCAAAGGAUCUCCCAGAAUGUCUGAAAUCUCUAUUACUUACUCCUUUGGCUUAAGAUAUGCAAAUCUUGUCUGUACAUUAAUUUACAUUUCUGGAGACCAUACUGUAUGAAAUGCAUUGUACUAAGAAGCACCAGUCCAAUUUCUGUUCUCAGGAGUUUAUGAUCCAAUAAGAGUAUUGUCUGAAAGAGGUCACAGAUGAUAACACGCUGGAGUUAUUUUUGAACAAAGGAGUGACCUCUGAAGAAAAAAUGCUAAAUGAAAGUAAACCAGAGUCAGUCCAUUUUUUGCUGCUGUAACAGAAUACUUGAGACUGGAUAACUUAUAAGUAAUAGAGAUGCAUUUCUUUCAGUUAUGGAGGCUGGGAGGUCCAGUAGCAAGGUGUCAACAUUUGGUAAGGACUUGCUUGCUGUGUCUCCUGCGGUGGAAGGUAAAAGGGCAAGAAAGUGCAAGAGAGCAAGAGGCUAGCAAGGACAGGGUUCACUUCUAUAAUAGGCAUAGUCUUGUGAUAAUGACAGCAAUGCAGUCAUGAGGGCUGAGAUAAUCACUUCUUAUUGAGUUCCACUUUUCCACAGUGUCGCCCUAGGUACUGCUUCCAACACAUGAACUCUGGGGGACAUAUUCAAAUCAUAGCAUUCUAAAGAUUAGAGUGGGUGCAUGUGUGAAUCUUUUAUUCAUUUAGAUAAUACCAUUCUAAAGAUUCUGUAAAGGCUAUCUUAUACUUUUAGCCAGAUUGUUAAAGUCUGAGCUAUUGGGAAGUAUGUAAAAGCACGGAUUACUGCAGCCUCUCAGAAAUAACUGAAACACACUAGCAGGACUCUGGAGAAACCUAUGCACUUGUAAACUUGGCAGCCUUUAGCUGUGACUGGUUGCACCAGGCCAGAUGAACUGUUGGGAAUGUUGAGAGAGCCAGGGAAAGAACUUGCUUACUUCUGUCGCCCGAGAGAGGGGAAAAAAUAAUUCAAAUGACAGACAUCCAACAGGAUGAUGGUUCAGUACUUGGAAAGCAGUGAGACUGAAAACCACCUGUGGUUGGUAAUGGAAAGUAAAUGUGCAUUAAAAAAAAAUUUCAACUACUAUUUUGAGCUUCUUCCCUCCAAGUAAAAUGCCAGGGCACAGAGGUACACAGUUGCUUAUGUGACAGCAAGAGUGUGCCUUUGUGACUCAUACACAAUUUGAGGUCUCCGUGGUCUUUCUGAAUUAGAAAGAGUGAAUAUACAGGGCCAAAUUCAAAGAGUAGGAAUUCAGAAAUACAAAAACUGGCUUAAGAGAUAGAUUAAGAGGCCUAAAUAUGUUUGGCUUGGAUGCAGAAUGGAAAGAAAGGGGAUAUAAUAGCCAUCUGCACGUCUGCGAGGAGUUGAAACUCAAACUAAAUAAGGAGGGAGCUGUUUGGAGUGGUGUCCAGAAACACAGCCAUGCCUGACCUGAUGAAACUGAGAAAAGGAAAACUCAGCCUGGAUGUCAGGAAAAUACUUCUUCCCCAAGUUCCACAAAUCUGCCAAGGGAAGUAUAUAAGUCUUGUUAUUUGAAGUCACUUAAAACUAGAUUGGAUAUGCCACUCAUUUUUUUUAGCCCUCCCUCAAUCAUUUUGUUAUCUAAAACUUUGUUUUCUUUUCUCCUGCUUAUAUUUGAAAGUUCUCUCAAUUAAAUGUCCCUUGUGAAAAAUGGAGGUAUUUCAGACUUAUUUUUAAUUUAAAAAUAAAUAAUAAAACUUAGAUUUCCUGGAAAAAAGGUCUCCAGGAUGUUGAUUAUAUUUUUCUUUCCUUUCAGUUUAUUCUUUAAAUUGGUUUUUUUCAAGCUUAUUUUGACACAGACUUUAGUUGUUUGGUUUUGGUUUUAGAGUAGAAUUGCAACAAGAGUUUUUUCUUUUUGGUACUGGGGAUCGAACUCAGGACCUCGAGCUUGCGAGGCAGGUGGCAGAACCACUGAGGUAAGUCCUUGGGCCCAACAAGAGUAAUUUUUAAAAUUUUGUCUUUCUUGCAAUGCUGGAAA